GACGAACGCUGGCGGCGUGCUUAACACAUGCAAGUCGAACGGAAAGGCCCUGCUUUUGUGGGGUGCUCGAGUGGCGAACGGGUGAGUAACACGCGAGUAACCUGCCCUUGACUUUGGGAUAACUUCAGGAAACUGGGGCUAAUACCGGAUAGGAGCUCCUGCUGCAUGGUGGGGGUUGGAAAGUUUCGGCGGUUGGGGAUGGACUCGCGGCUUAUCAGCUUGUUGGUGGGGUAGUGGCUUACCAAGGCUUUGACGGGUAGCCGGCCUGAGAGGGUUACCGGCCACAUUGGGACUGAGAUACGGCCCAGACUCCUACGGGAGGCAGCAGUGGGGAAUAUUGCACAAUGGGCGGAAGCCUGAUGCAGCAACGCCGCGUGCGGGAUGACGGCCUUCGGGUUGUAAACCGCUUUCGCCUGUGACGAAGCGUGAGUGACGGUAAUGGGUAAAGAAGCACCGGCUAACUACGUG
rnacentral:rRNA from 1 species